GUAUUGCUGAGGAGUCCCAUAAUAGGACGAAACAACCGUCCAAUAC
rnacentral:hammerhead_ribozyme from 1 species